rnacentral:rRNA from 1 species
UACGGAGGGUGCAAGCGUUAUUCGGAAUGACUGGGUGUAAAGCGCACGCAGGUGGUUAUUUAAGUCAGAUGUGAAAGCCCCGAGCUUAACUUGGGAAUUGCAUUUGAAACUGGAUAACUAGAAUAUGUCAGGGGAAGGCGGAAUUUCCAGUGUAGCAGUGAAAUGCGUAGAGAUUGGAAGGAACACCGAUGGCGAAGGCAGCCUUCUGGGACUAUAUUGACGCUCAUGUGCGAAAGCGUGGGUAGCAAAC